AUAAUGGGUCAGCGACUUAUAUUCUGUAGCAAGGUUAACCGAAUAGGGGAGCCGAAGGGAAACCGAGUCUUAACUGGGCGUUAAGUUGCAGGGUAUAGACCCGAAACCCGGUGAUCUAGCCAUGGGCAGGUUGAAGGUUGGGUAACACUAACUGGAGGACCGAACCGACUAAUGUUGAAAAAUUAGCGGAUGACUUGUGGCUGGGGGUGAAAGGCCAAUCAAACCGGGAGAUAGCUGGUUCUCCCCGAAAGCUAUUUAGGUAGCGCCUCGUGAAUUCAUCUCCGGGGGUAGAGCACUGUUUCGGCAAGGGGGUCAUCCCGACUUACCAACCCGAUGCAAACUGCGAAUACCGGAGAAUGUUAUCACGGGAGACACACGGCGGGUGCUAACGUCCGUCGUGAAGAGGGAAACAACCCAGACCGCCAGCUAAGGUCCCAAAGUCAUGGUUAAGUGGGAAACGAUGUGGGAAGGCCCAGACAGCCAGGAUGUUGGCUUAGAAGCAGCCAUCAUUUAAAGAAAGCGUAAUAGCUCACUGGUCGAGUCGGCCUGCGCGGAAGAUGUAACGGGGCUAAACCAUGCACCGAAGCUGCGGCAGCGACGCUGAUGCGUUGUUGGGUAGGGGAGCGUUCUGUAAGCCUGUGAAGGUGUGCUGUGAGGCAUGCUGGAGGUAUCAGAAGUGCGAAUGCUGACAUAAGUAACGAUAAAGCGGGUGAAAAGCCCGCUCGCCGGAAGACCAAGGGUUCCUGUCCAACGUUAAUCGGGGCAGGGUGAGUCGACCCCUAAGGCGAGGCCGAAAGGCGUAGUCGAUGGGAAACAGGUUAAUAUUCCUGUACUUGGUGUUACUGCGAAGGGGGGACGGAGAAGGCUAUGUUGGCCGGGCGACGGUUGUCCCGGUUUAAGCGUGUAGGCUGGUUUUCCAGGCAAAUCCGGAAAAUCAAGGCUGAGGCGUGAUGACGAGGCACUACGGUGCUGAAGCAACAAAUGCCCUGCUUCCAGGAAAAGCCUCUAAGCAUCAGGUAACAUCAAAUCGUACCCCAAACCGACACAGGUGGUCAGGUAGAGAAUACCAAGGCGCUUGAGAGAACUCGGGUGAAGGAACUAGGCAAAAUGGUGCCGUAACUUCGGGAGAAGGCACGCUGAUAUGUAGGUGAAGUCCCUCGCGGAUGGAGCUGAAAUCAGUCGAAGAUACCAGCUGGCUGCAACUGUUUAUUAAAAACACAGCACUGUGCAAACACGAAAGUGGACGUAUACGGUGUGACGCCUGCCCGGUGCCGGAAGGUUAAUUGAUGGGGUCAGCGCAAGCGAAGCUCUUGAUCGAAGCCCCGGUAAACGGCGGCCGUAACUAUAACGGUCCUAAGGUAGCGAAAUUCCUUGUCGGGUAAGUUCCGACCUGCACGAAUGGCGUAAUGAUGGCCAGGCUGUCUCCACCCGAGACUCAGUGAAAUUGAACUCGCUGUGAAGAUGCAGUGUACCCGCGGCAAGACGGAAAGACCCCGUGAACCUUUACUAUAGCUUGACACUGAACAUUGAGCCUUGAUGUGUAGGAUAGGUGGGAGGCUUUGAAGUGUGGACGCCAGUCUGCAUGGAGCCGGCCUUGAAAUACCACCCUUUAAUGUUUGAUGUUCUAACGUUGACCCGUGAUCCGGGUUGCGGACAGUGUCUGGUGGGUAGUUUGACUGGGGCGGUCUCCUCCUAAAGAGUAACGGAGGAGCACGAAGGUUGGCUAAUCCUGGUCGGACAUCAGGAGGUUAGUGCAAUGGCAUAAGCCAGCUUGACUGCGAGCGUGACGGCGCGAGCAGGUGCGAAAGCAGGUCAUAGUGAUCCGGUGGUUCUGAAUGGAAGGGCCAUCGCUCAACGGAUAAAAGGUACUCCGGGGAUAACAGGCUGAUACCGCCCAAGAGUUCAUAUCGACGGCGGUGUUUGGCACCUCGAUGUCGGCUCAUCACAUCCUGGGGCUGAAGUAGGUCCCAAGGGUAUGGCUGUUCGCCAUUUAAAGUGGUACGCGAGCUGGGUUUAGAACGUCGUGAGACAGUUCGGUCCCUA
rnacentral:rRNA from 1 species